AGUAUGAACACGUUUACCAGAUCCAAGCGCUCGUAGGUGGAAGUAUGUUGAUGCCUCCGUUAAGGAGGCGAUGUUUCAACGCUUGAAUGAUCAAUUUGAUUUACAAGGAGACCAUAUUGAUAUAGAAAAGGAAAUGAACACAAAAUUUGGUCAGAGAUUGAGUAACCAUACCUAUAGGUUGCACAAACAAUUCAUGGAGCUAAAAGAGGCUAAAGGGGAGGAGUAUGCAAGAAACCACCACUGAAGGAUAUCGAUCCUACUAGGUGGAUAGAUCUUAUUGAUAAAAAGUGGAACACUAAAGAAUUUUUGGUAACAUUUUCAUCUUUUUUAUUAUAUCAGUGAAGAAAGAAUUUGAUUAGAAUAGGGAGAGAUUCUAAAAAAACUAGAAAGAACACAAUCAAUUUGCUAUGAAAUUCUAUAUGUAUUCUUUUCCCUUUAGCUUCUAGGCAUGUAAGUGAAACAUAAUAAAAACCAAAUAAGUGGGAAAAUGAGAAAGGGAAACUAGUAAACAUGGAUUGGAAGGCUCACAUAAUAGGAGAUUAAUUUAUGGUUUCUUAAAGUGCACCUUUCACAUCUUAGAAUAAAAAACUAAGAUUUCAGUUUCUAUGAAUGUAUUUCCUGUUUGUUCUUGGGCUUGGUCUGAAGUUUCAUGAUAAUGGUAGCUGAGUAACUAAUACAGGGUAUUGAGACAGAACUUUAGAUUUGAUAGAGUGGGGGAAGAAAGAAAUGAUGAGCUUAGUAUCAGUAAUUGUUCCAUAUCUUGUGAAAUGUAAAUGGAUUUUUUCACAAUCUAUCUGGCCCAUGCUUAUAUGCCCCCUAUUUGUGAACGGUGUAAAUUUCUCGUGUUUCUUUUUUUACCCAAAAAAACCAUCUUAUGAUGAAAUCUCAUCAAGUCCUCUAAUCUAUUUUUCAAAGAAUUGAAUGAUACUAGUGAAUAAUUUAAAAUAUCUUUUAAGUUGAAAUGAUAUAUAGGAAAAGGAAAGAGAGGAACAAUGCAAUUCUUUUAUUAUCAAGCAUUAAAUUUGUCUUACUAAUGAUAUAUUUCAUUGUUAUAUUGGUUCAUUCUUCCUUACAAGAACAAUCAAAAGCCAACAUAUCUAUCUUACUAAUGAUACAUCUCAUUGUUAUAUUGGCCAUUCUUCCUUAUAGGAACAUCAAAAGCCAACAUCGUGAACAGAGAAAAGAUGAAUACAAUAUAUAGGUGUGGUUCUAGGUCAAUCCCUGUUAGAGUAGAAAAACUGGCACGAGAAAAGAAGAUGUUACCUAAUCUAACAGAGUUUUACAAGGAAACUCAUUAUAACGAGAAAACACAUGACUGGAUCUCGUCUAAAGCUCAGUGUAAUUAUGAAAAUAUGAUACAGACAAAGGCUAAUCAACUCUCAUAGCCAGGAUCAAUCGCUUUGACUGCAGAAGAGCUGUCAGUCAAAGUCCUAAAGCCAAGGUCUAGUUAUGUGAAGGGACUUGGCAUGAGACCUUUAUCCUCUAUUAGGAGGACCACUACCAUAUAUGCUGAAACAAGUGAUUAUGUGAAGCGCCUUGAGAUGCAAAUAGAGACACAGAAGGAACAAAUACAAAUGCAGAAUAAUAAAAUAGAAGAUCUUGAAGAGGGUUAGAAGAAGCAGGGGGUGAUAAUGAUAGAUGUCGUCAACUUUCUGAGGAGCAAAGGAUUCACUGGACACUUUGGAAGUGGAUAGGACUCAUCCACAAGUGGACAUACUUCUUGAUUUGAUUGGGGUGGCAUUUUUGACGUGCAACAAUGAUGUAAUUUGCUUGAAUGUUCAUUUUUGUUUGGAUUACUAAUGUUUUUAAUCUUUUGUAUAAUUGAUUAGUUACUAAAGCUUUUAAUUUAUUUUUUUACAAAUUGGAUUAGGGUGGCAUUUUUGACGUGCAACAAUGAUGUAAUUUGCUUGAAUGUUCAUUUUUGUUUGGAUUACUAAUGUUUUUAAUCUUUUGUAUAAUUGAUUAGUUACUAAAGCUUUUAAUUUAUUUUUUUGCAAAUUGGAUUAUGGUGGCAUUUUUGACGUGCAACAAUGAUGUAAUUUGCAUGAAUGUUCAUUUUUGUUUGAUAAGGAUACACAUACUUUGUGGAGUUGCACUAGUUAUUAUUGAAUGUUUGGUGGAAUUGCAUUAGUUAUAACUUUUGGAUA